GGAUGAUGCUGUGGCAGAGGCAGGCCCUGGAGCCAUCAAGCCUGCCUAGGUCGUCAUCUCUUCCUGUGUCACCGCAACCCAGGCCUGAAGAGUGCAGGGCCCAGGCACUUGAUUACAGGCGAGCAGCUCUGCUCUGCCAUGUACUGCCUUCACGAUGCCCGUCUACCAUCGCAGGCAAGAAACAGCAGAAGCAGUGACCAUUGCCUCAACGCCUCUGUAGCUAUGAGCUGAGGUUGACUCCUGCAGGAACUCCAAUCACAAGGAGGACAGGGCCGUUGCUGUGAGCUGAGCUCCUCGGGCCGUUAUAAAU